GGGCGCCGUUGUUAUUAGGCGCGGCGAGGCGGGUGGCGCGCGGCAGCAGGGUUGGGCUCUCGCCGUGAGUCGACGAAGGGAGCGCGGGCGCGCGCCCGCGUCCGCGCACUGAGAGUCGCCUCGGCCGCUCGCUUUCUCGACUCCCGCCUCGCGCCUCGAUCCUGUUCCGCCUCCCUCGGCCCUCCUGCCCGCCCCCACUCGUCGGCCCUCAGCUCAGAGACCUAAUAGGAUGGGGUCUUAGAGAAACAUCUUUUGAGCCACAGACUUCUUUGUUACCAGAAGGAAAAUGAAAGAAGAAAUUUAAAUACCACUUGAAGAGAGGUGCUGCCCAGUUCAUGAGUGCUGCUGCUGUCCUGCCCAAGUACCCAGCUUGCAGAGUGCCAGAGUUAGAGUCCCAGGGGUGUUCUCCACAGCUGCAUGCUUGAUCCAGGCCUAUCAGGUGUUAUUUGUUGACGGAACCAGGCAUCAUCAGCAAACAAAACUGACAAAGCUUCCUGCCCUCUGUGGAAGGCAUCUGAGGAAGAGACUGGAUUUUGUAGCAACAUGUUAUUCUCAUUAUAAACUUUAUCAUUGGAAUACUAAAGCCAAAUCAUCCCCCAUCUCCUUGAUCAGGAUACCCACUUAAUCUAGGCAGCUACACAAUUGUGAGAGCCUUUGUUUUUUUCUGCUGAAACAUCCUUAAAAAGAUACCUCACAACCCAAGAUUUGGCUUUUCUUAAAUACGAUUUUUAAUUUUUUUCAUUUCUAUCUAGAGAUUUAAUUGGAAAUGGAAAAUCAUCAAUUUUCCAAUUAAAUGUCUGUUCCAAUCAACAUUAUACCUUUUAGGUUGUCAUUGUCAUUUUUAAGUUUAAGCAACUUUAAGGAUUUUGAAUCUGGCUGCCUGUAAAUUAAAGGUGAAAGUAAUCAUUGUGUUGGAUUGGAACAUUUUGUCAAUUGAGAGUGGUUUCCUUGUUCUUAGUGUAUGAAAAGUUUAUUUUUCUAAUGUAGAUUAAUAAAGGAGAUAAAGAAAAACAAAA
rnacentral:lncRNA from 1 species